GGUCCUAUAGCUCAGUUGGUUAGAGCACCUGACUCAUAAUCAGGGGGUCCCUGGAUCAUGCCCAGGUGGGACCA
rnacentral:tRNA from 5 species